rnacentral:rRNA from 1 species
ACAGAGGGCCCGAGCGUUAAUCGGAUUUACUGGGCUUAAAGGGUGCGUAGGCGGAUGCGUAAGUGUCCUGUGAAAUCCCAUGGCUCAACCAUGGAACGGCAGGGCAGACUGCGUGUCUUGAGGUCGGUAGAGGUUGCCGGAACUCUAGGUGUAGCGGUGAAAUGCGUAGAUAUCUAGAGGAACGCCAAAGGUGAAGACAGGCAACUGGGCCGAAUCUGACGCUGAGGCACGAAAGCGUGGGUAGCGAACGG